rnacentral:tRNA from 1 species
GGGCUGUUAGCUCAGUUGGCAGAGCAGCGGACUUUUAAUCCGACGGUCGUGGGUUCGAGCCCCACACGGCCCA